AAAGGACAAGAAGGGCUGAUGCUUGCAGCCUUCUGUAGUGGGAUGAUGUUGCUCUUUAUGAGCAGAUGCUUUGGCUUCAGCAUCCUGGACCAAUUUCAGCCAAUCUGUGAUAGAAGGCAAUUUAAACAAAUGGAGACAAGCAAGCCACAGUAAACAUGGUAUAGAUGCAGCUUCUCUUCCAAGUUUGUGAUUUACAGCCAGCACCAGAAGAUACGUAAGGUGAUAAAGUGAGGAAGGUACAGUCUUCAGUAAAAGUGACCCAGGACUCAAGAUGAAAGGUGCUUCUGCUGCUUCUUCCCAUAAAUAAAUGUUGAUGCCUGGUUUUGUAAUGUGCUCAGAGAUGGAAAAAAGCCUUUCUCAAACAGAGGAGGUGUGGCCAAUAGUGCAGUGAUUGCAAGUGAAAAGUUCACCAACAAUGUCAUUUCUACCAAAGUGGGGAAAAUUCUUUGUCACAUUUAGAAUGUUGUAAUUUUUAUUUUGGACUGCACAUGAGGUCUCAAAAGAAUAAAUUACACAGAUUAUAGUUGCAUAAUUGGAGGUUUUGACACAAAAGGGUACUUUAAACUUGAAAAAUAUCUGUAUAUAGAUUUGCUUCUGUUGCAUUUGUGAUUUCAGUUGUAAAUACUGCCAUUAGAGUAAUGCUAAGUUACCAGAAAUGGCAGAGGAACCAGCAGAGGAGGUGAGUAAA